AUCUGCCAUUUGAGUGCCCAGUAUCCCAGUCUAUCUAAAUCCCUCUGCAGCAAAGUAAUAUCUUGCUCACAUUGUUUUGUUUUACAGAGUUUUGUGUCAUCUGCAAACACUGAAACAUGACUUUCAAUGCUGUCUUCAAGAUCAUUUAUAAACAUGUUAAAUAGAAGGGGUCCCAGAACAGACCCCUGAGGGACACCACUUGCCACCUCUGUCCAGCUUGAAAAUUUACCAUUAAUG
rnacentral:lncRNA from 1 species